UGAAGAAUUACCUCUUAUAUUACAUAUAGAUGAGACAAUAAACCAAUGAGGGGCAUUUCCCCCAAGCAAUGCUAUUUCCUUUACGAGCGUAACCUUUAGGAUUGAAACCAUUACAAUGUGACAAAACUUGCAUAGAUGAUACGUCAUUCCCAAAGUUGAACAGGCUCUAUGUAAAUGAGCAAUUGAUGUCACUAAGGAGCAGAGUUUUGAUCCAGCUAGACCACUAUACACUUUGUUUUACAAAACCAAUGCUGUCUCAUUAGACGCAGGUUAACUCCAGUCAUUUUUUUGUAUUUAUCCACCGCAAAAAAAAAUGUUGUAUUUAUAGGCCAUGUGGGGACAAUAGCAUAUAAACUGAGUGUUCCAGCACGGGCUCAUAUUUGCAAUCCUUUUCAUGUGAGUCUUUUGAAGUGCUUCCAUGUUGAUCCAUCAGAUGUGCCACCAGCAUUAACGUUGGUUUAUCACGUUCAGAUAAUCCUGAGGCAAAUGAAGUCUUGGGGCAUGGUAGCAAGUGGUGUUCAGAUUUUUUUUGGUACAAUGGGAAGAAAAGAUCAAGGAUUUUCAGCUCAAAGACGAGCGGCUUGAGGAGGCGGGGAGUAAUGUCAUAUGCACAAAAAUAGUUCCAAGAUGUACAUAUUUGCAAGCAAACUCCAAAAGUGGAAUAGGUUCCAGUUGAGUUACCUGCUAUCUUCUUCCAGUGGAUCUGAACAUUUUCAUACACCUUUUGCUCAUCGAAGUGGCCUAUAUAAAAUUCUUUAGAAUUUUCUU
rnacentral:lncRNA from 1 species